AAAAGGAAAUGUAAUGAAGGAGAGUCUUUUCAAUAUACCUAAUUCUUGACUGCCCUUGCCCUAGGCAGAAAUUUAAUUCUACUUAAGGACAACUAUCUUUAAGAAGUUGUUAUGCAAAUUAUAAGGCAAGGGGAGAAAAGGAACAGAAACCAUUUUCCCAGGUAAACGAGAAAGGCUGAGAAGGCUGAGAAUUACCCGGUGGUAACUGAUCUCUAAUUUACUGCGAUGACCAUCGCAGUCAGCUAACCACCUAACACCCGGGCCCUACAGACCCUAUGCAACUCCACCCUAUCACGUAUUACACUGCUUCCCCUAAAUCAACCUAACAACCAAGCAAAACAGGCAACUCCUUUCAGAAAUGAGCUGAUCACGAGUUGACAAUAAUACAUUUAAAAAACCUGAUCUCGCGUUAAUUCCAGCUGGAAAUUGAAACUACAACAAAUGCCCAGGUUUCUUUUCUAAAACUGUUAACCCCCAAAGAGGCGAGGUAGGCAGUUUGUUCUGUGUAUCAGCAGUAGUGGAGUUACUUGGGAGGGGGAAGGCAGCAAAUCAGGCAAGUCAUUAUCUUAAGAAAGCAUGCGGGCGUAGUUCAGGGGUCCUGACCCACAGCUGUGGCUCUGGGUCCGCUCUGCCACGCACUCCACACACGCCAGGGUCGGACCCAACAGCGGGAUGAGGGCUCCUGACCGCUGCCUGGCAUGGAGAGAGGGGUGCCAUGCACGGCUCUGGCCGGAGAGUGAGUGGCAUCCCACGGCCAGCACACAAAAGCUCCGGGUGUCUUCUUCAGCCUUCCGCCGGGGACACUCACUGCAGCCGCUUCAACACGAAACGCUAGGCUCAGAAGAUGAAGCUGAAAGAACAGCUGUGGAGGUAAACGACACACAAAUUGGCACUGGUGGGAGAACUGAGAAGCAAAACAGCCUGAGGCCAGUGCCAGCGAGUGGACGAUGCUGUUAACCACAGGAGGAACGCCAAGCUCAAGGUUAAGGGUCUCGGACCAGGUGUUAGGUGGAAAGUCCAAUACCUACUGCGGCAGUCAGCAGAGAAGCCGGUUCGGCGGCGAAACCAGAGACGGCUGCCUGGAGGAGGUGAUCUGAGCUUAACUUUAAAGGGACAAAAAGCUGUCCUCCAGCAGCUCAGUCGAACCCUGUCCCUACGUGAGUCUAAAGGAGCUACCCUUUUCACAGAAGAGGAAACUGAGGCCGGGCAAAAAGGCGGCCCCAGCCAGGGACCGCAGGUCAGAGCUGGCAGGCCGGGGAUUCGAACCUCCCGCCGGCCAGGACGCCGGCGCUCCGUCGCAGGCGCGCGGCCGGCCCCAUCCGUCGCCCUGGAGACAGCCCCGCGCGCGCGCAGUUUCCCCUCGCUCACUCGGGCUCUCAUUCUCGUGACUUUUUUUUAAAUAAAACCCCGAGGCGGCGGGAUACCACCAACGACUGAACGUGCCGUCGAAGGACGCCGCUACGUCCGCUCUCCGCCCUGGGCCGCGGAUCCCUCCGCCGCCCGGCGGCCCGCGCGCUUCUUCUCGACUCCAAACUCGAAACGGGUUCCCGCGCGCCGCGCCGCACCCCACCCCCACCUCAUCCCCACCCCAACCCCCAGCCCGGCUCACCUGCCGCCCGCGUCUCCAUGGCAACGCCCCCACCGCGGAGGAAAAAAAAGCCUCGGGCUCUUCCGGGCUCCCUCCCGCGCCGACCGCGAAGGCGAGGCGCCCCGCUGAUGCUUCGCUUUUUAUUUUUAUUUUUUUAAGAAAAGAGCCGGCGAGGUUAUGGCGAAUCUGCGGCAUUCAACAUGGCGGAUGGAGUCUUCGCCCUCCUCUUCACGGGGCGCUGACGCCGGCGUAGCGUACGUCAGCCUCGGAUGACCCUCCCCCAGCGCCGAGCGCGUCUAUGCUGGGCGGUCUAGUGCGCAUGUUCCGGUCCGGCGGCCGCGCUUUGCGUCCCGCUCCGCGGGUUCCAGCGCUCCGCUUUUUGAGCCACUCCUGGGACGGUGCUAACGAGAGGCCUGGAAUCCGGAUCGCAGGAUUGGGAGUCUUCCCAUUUUUGCCGGGAGCCAGCAGAUCUACCUGCCUGCGCGUCCUUGGACUCACCUGACGUGGAGCCACUGGGCUAGACGUGCAAGAAUUCUGGGUUCGUGUCCCAGUUCUGCCCUUUACUAACUAAUUUGGGGCAGCGAUUUAACUUUACUUGGGCUCAGUUUACUAAUUUGUCAGUCGGGGUGAUUACAGCCUGCCUCCCUUUCGAGGGUUGCUGUGUUUCCCCGAAGCGGGAUGCUCUCCGCUGGGGGCAUCCGGCUCGAUGUAGUCCGGUUCGUACAGCCAGAAUUCAGCAGCCUGGAGCCAUGUGGAGAAAGCGCCUUCCGUCCUGACUGUCCUGCAGAAAGUCUCAGAUGCGUGUGAGCACGCCUCUAGAACGCUCGCUCAUUUUCCUGAGUCUGGCGCACAGCCUUCUUUCUGCAGGCAGCCUGUCUGCUUUAGAUGUCAUGACCUUGUUUCCAGUUUUUGUUGUGAAGGGGAUCCGCUCUGCCACUUCCUUUAGAUCUCAGUUCUAGUGACCUCUCCAAGGGGGCCCUCCCGCACCACCGCAUCCAAAGUAACCCUCCUAAGUACCUUUCUGUUUUCUGCACCGUUAUCUGUUAGCGCCUGACCUGAAUUUAUCUCCAUCUGUCUUGGUCACCCCUUUGGCCCCAGAAACUAGAAAUGAGCCUGACAGUUACGUAUUGAAUAAAUUAAUGAGUUUUGUGUUGCUUGUA